rnacentral:lncRNA from 1 species
CAUCUCUCCAUGGCCUCUGCAUCAGCUCUUGAUUCCUGACCUGCUGAGUUCUAGUCCUGACUUUCUUUGGUGAUGAACAGCAGUGUGGAAGUGUAAGCUGAAUAAAAGUCUUUCUUCCCCAACUUCCUUCUUGGUCAUGAUGUUUUGUGCAGGAAUAGAAACCCUAACUAAGACAAAUUGGUACCAGUAUAGCGAGGUAUUCCUGUGACAACCUGACCAUGUUUUGGGGAGAACUGUGGAAGGACUUUAGAACUUUGAGCUACAAGAGCCCUUGGGAUGUUAAGAGCUCUGUGGGAUGUUCUGUAGGAGCUUGGAAGAUAAUAUUGAAAACAGUACAGAAGACGGAGGCCUAGCUUGUGCAAUUUCAGAGGGAAGAUUAAAGACUCCUGGCUGUUAUUUUGAUUGUGAAGAUUCUGUGGUUUUGGUUAGCUGAGGCUGAAAAAUCAGCUAUGAUUAACAAGAUACCAGAACUACUAAAGUGAAACCUUUGCAUUACUGGGACUACUGAUGCUGGUUAGCUGGAGCUAAGAAAUUAGUGGUGGAAACCGUGUCUCCACCAAAAAAAAAAAAAAAGAAAGAAAG